GACGAACGCUGGCGGCGUGCUUAACACAUGCAAGUCGAACGGAAAGGCCCUGCUUUUGUGGGGUGCUCGAGUGGCGAACGGGUGAGUAACACGUGAGUAACCUGCCCUUGACUUUGGGAUAACUUCAGGAAACUGGGGCUAAUACCGGAUAGGAGCUCCUGCUGCAUGGUGGGGGUUGGAAAGUUUCGGCGGUUGGGGAUGGACUCGCGGCUUAUCAGCUUGUUGGUGGGGUAGUGGCUUACCAAGGCUUUGACGGGUAGCCGGCCUGAGAGGGUGACCGGCCACAUUGGGACUGUGAUACGGCCCAGACUCCUACGGGAGGCAGCAGUGGGGAAUAUUGCACAAUGGGCGGAAGCCUGAUGCAGCAACGCCGCGGGCGGGAUGACGGCCUGCGGGUUGUAAACCGCGUUCGCCUGUGACGAAGCGUGAGUGACGGUAAUGGGUAAAGAAGCACCGGCUAACUACGUG
rnacentral:rRNA from 1 species